CUGCUGACAUUAUUUGGAUCUACAUUUGCUUGCGAAUCUUCGUUUUCCAGAAUUAAAUAUGCAAAAAAUAUUAACAACCGAAACAAGCUUACGGACUUCAACCUAGAUGAUGUCAUUAGGUUGGCAUGCAGCAACAAGCGAGUUUUGAAAAUGUGUUCUCAAUUUCAAAAUUUCAAGCUAGAAAAAAAACCUGCUAUAGGCAAAACAAUAUAACAAAAUAUUGAAGUAUUCAACUAAAACUAUUUAUAAAAAAAACUAUUUUGUCAUUUUGUGUGUUGUUAUAAAUUUUUGUUUUCAAAAUUAAAGCUCGAAUUUUUUUAAAGAAGAAUUUUUUUUAAACUAUGGCAGUAGCAGUUCAUUUGGUUGAAGUGCUUACGCUUAUUUCAAUUCUUGGAAUCUUAUUAGGACUAUCAGCAGUUAUCGCAUGUACGGCAAAAAUAUUCUUUUUAUCCCUUUAUAUGCUCAGAAUGGCCGUAAAUUGGGUUGGAUUUGUAUUGCAUAGCUCUGAAAAAACGAUAUUUUUUACAAUUUUGAGUAUAUGUAAUAUUUCACCUGACUAUUUACCAAUUGAAAAAGAAGAAACUCAAGUUUUAAAAACAUGCAUGUGUAAUUCCUGAUAAACUUCCGAAAUUAUUCGUUUAUGUGCUUAGACUAGAAAACAAUCUUUGUAAAUGGUUUGGAAAACUUGCAAUGUUAAGAAUUUUCAAGCCAUAUAUAAAGCAUUGUAUUCUCAAGCAAUGAAGACAUGUAAAUUUAAGAUAGUAAAUUGAUUUUGUAAAAUAUUUAUGUAUGUAUGUAUGUAUGUGAAUCACAACUUGAUUUUAACCAAAUCAAAUUUUUAACAGCUUGUCAAAAAUAUUGACAUAUUUCUAAUUGUGUUAAAGGAUUGAUUUGGUUGGAGUUCAGUUUUUUAGUUCAAUAAAUAAAAUUUAAAAUGUAA